CCCUUAGACGUUCUGGGCCGCACGCGUGCUACACUGACGCAUACAGCGAGUACUCCCGGCUCCGCAAUGGCAGCUGGUAAUCAUCAAUAUGCGUCGUGAUGGGGAUAGAUCUCUGGAAUUUUUGAUCUUGAACGAGGAAUGCCUAGUAAGCGCAGGUCAUCAGCCUGCGUUGGUUAAGUCCCUGCCCUUUGUACACACCGUCCGUCGCUCCUACCGAUUUCGAGUGGUCCGGUGAACCUUUCGGACCGGGAGCAGCCUCGUGCUGCGCCUGGAAAGUCAAGUAAACCACAUCACUUAGAGGAAGGAGAAGUCGUAACA
rnacentral:rRNA from 1 species